rnacentral:tRNA from 1 species
UUGUAUUUGAUUUAUAGUUUUCUUAAUUGGAGAAUGAACCGCUGUCUGAUUCGUAAUCAGUAGGUCGGAGGUUCGACUCCUCUCAACAGCACCA